GUGGCUGUAGUUUAGUGGUGAGAAUUCCACGUUGUGGCCGUUGAGACCUGGGCUCGAAUCCCAGCAGCCACA
rfam:Picea glauca, whole genome shotgun sequence.